UAACAGCUCUAAAACAGAAGGGCAAGGGGCUGGCAAACAAGAUUAAGUGACUUGACCAGCAUCACAAAGCUAGGAACUGUGCUUCAAACUCAAGAUCUGGCACUCUAUCCACUGUGCCAUUCAGCUGCCUCUGAUUCCAGGCAAGACAUUGGACCCCCAUUGCUUAACCUUUACCACUCUUCUCCCUUGGAACCGAUAUACAGUAUUGAUUCUAUACAUCCUGUUCCCUCUUCUUGAACUCUGCUUCCUCACCUUCACCAAGAGUGGUCACAAAUCCAAAUGAAUUCCUGGGGAAAUUCCAGCCUAGAUCCUGAAAUCUCCAAGUUAGAAAUACCUUCAGGAGUCACCUCAUCCAACCCUGGCUAAAGCAGAAAUAUACUGACAAGCAGUCAUCACGGUUCAUGGCAGGCACUUCAUUAGCCUCUGAAGCAGUUCAUUCCUUUCACGAAACAGCCCCAGCUUACAAAGAAUUUCCCCCUUAGACGGAACUGAGAUCUUCCUUUAAUCUUAUCCGUUGCUCUUGGUUAUAACCUCUGGAGCCAAGUAAAAUAAACCUAAUCUUUUCCCCA
rnacentral:lncRNA from 1 species